GAUGAACGCUGGCGGCGUGCCUAAUACAUGCAAGUCGAGCGAACAGAUGAGGAGCUUGCUCCUCUGACGUUAGCGGCGGACGGGUGAGUAACACGUGGAUAACCUACCUAUAAGACUGGGAUAACUACGGGAAACCGGAGCUAAUACCGGAUAAUAUAUUGAACCGCAUGGUUCAAUAGUGAAAGACGGUUUUGCUGUCACUUAUAGAUGGAUCCGCGCCGCAUUAGCUAGUUGGUAAGGUAACGGCUUACCAAGGCAACGAUGCGUAGCCGACCUGAGAGGGUGAUAGGCCACACUGGAGCGGAGACACGGUCCAGACUCCUACGGGAGGCAGCAGUAGGGAAUCUUCCGCAAUGGGCGAAAGCCUGACGGAGCAACGCCGCGUGAGUGAUGAAGGUCUUCGGAUCGUAAAACUCUGUUAUUAGGGAAGAACAAAUGUGUAAGUAACUAUGCACGUCUUGACGGUACCUAAUCAGAAAGCCACGGCUAACUACGUG
rnacentral:rRNA from 1 species